rnacentral:misc_RNA from 1 species
GUAAUGCAUGAACCCUUCUUCCCAUCUCCUGUUCCCACAAAUGCCCACAAGCUAGCAACAUUGAAACCACACUAUAACAGAAUCAAUCUCAAUCCCAAAAUCAGCCAUCUGGUUAAAAACCAUCAAAGCAUUCUUGGCACACCCAGUUUUGAAAUAGUAUUCCAAGAGACCAAACUCCUCUCGUUCAUUGCAUAAAAAACUCUUUGUGCUCCUUCCUUCCUCCCACAAUUCACAUACAUUGCCAGUAAGGAAUUCUGCGCAUAGGGGUAACACCACUGUGGCACGUCUGCCUGUGAACCACUCUACCCAAUCCAAGCAAUGAAAGCUCACUAAAAGCCUUGGCAACAAUGGGAUAAGUAUAGUUGUCCGGGAGGCAAUAUUCUAAUUUAAGCAUUUCAACAAACACCUUUAGCACAUCCAGAGUAUCGCCUAUUUGUGCACAUCGUCAUCAAGUUAUUAUAGAAGAGAGCACUUCGUUCAGGCAAUUUGUCGAGCAGGAGCAUGAGAGAUAUACCCGCAAUGCACAUCGGCAGCAACCAGGCUUGUUUGAUAAGGAGAUAUAUUACAG